CCAAUCGUGUAUCAAUCCCCUUCUCCUCCCGAUCCCUUCUUUCCCUUCGCCUACAAGUUCUUCCUCACCUCGCCUCAAUCCCCUCCGCCCCCGUUCGCCCAACCACGGCUCCUCUGCUCCCAGCGACGGCAGCCCCGGUCGACGCCCCUACUAGCGACAGCAACCCCGCCCAGCGGCCCUCCCCCUGCUUCGUCCCGCCGCUCCACCUGGGACCACCCUCCUUCGUCGUGCCCAAUUCAAGUUUCAGGUGGCCGCGGCUACGUGGCUGGCCGAUCGCCUCUAUCCAUCCAUUCCGUGAGGUGAUUCCACGGCUUGCUCGGUUCCACCGCACUUGCAUCUCCUCUCUAAUCUACUUAUUUGGGCGUGCUGCGCAGUGCCGCUAGGGCCAUCCGCUUGCCGAAUUGCUAUGUAAGCCCCAGAUGGACCCGUCUGCUUGCCGGGAUGUCAGUAGUACAUUAGUUUUAGUUUCUCUCUUUCAUUUCCCUGUCAGACUCAUUGAUUUUACUGGUUACCUACAAUGCAUAUUUAUUUGACCAGGUAAUGUAAUAGUCUAUGUUUGUCUAAAAAGUAGAACCAAUGUUCUAUUCCGAUUGCUAAAUUAGAUUUGAUAAUUGUUUUCUUCCUUUGUAAUGAAGUUUGAAAAUUGACCGUCUCCAUACAGAUUUCUUCUCCAAUAUGCUCGCUUUAGCAAGUUGGCACACUGAUUAUAUAUGGUUUUAUCUUUGUUGGGUUCCUUAUAAUUACGUCAGUUUGGAAGUGAAUGGUUCUAUUUUUUGGGUAGGAUUUCAAGGUAGUCUGAAAGAGGCAUGAAGGGCCGUUAAGUAUGCCAUUAAGCAUGGGGUCUUCCAUUUGGGAUUUAUGUUCUUCGGUUGCAGAUUUGUAGCGUUUGCUUCCCGUAUUCAAUAUAGUUCCUACUGAGAAGUUUCUUUUGUGGAAGCAGGUAAGUUAUAGCUGUAGGCUCAGAACAAGGUUAGUAAUAUUAUAUUUUUUUUACACACGCCGAUGCAUGGAGAGUAACAUAAUGCAUGUGCCUUCCACCGUGAUUGCUGCUGAGGGAUUACUACUGUGUUAAGCUUCAUGAAAAGUCACGUAAUGUCCUUUUUUUGUUGAGCCAAGACAGGAUGCUCUUCAUGUAGUUUGGUACAAUAAACAUGUUUCUUUUAUGAUUAUGCUUCAUCAUAUGAUGUAUGAUUACACACAAGUUUGUUUAUAGUUUUGCAGCCUGCUUAUACAUGGUUUCACCCUCUUUUCUUGGAUUUCUCAGUCGGUGUGCUCCUUACAUUACUAGAUUAUAUUGAAGUAUUAAGUUAAUUACAUAUGCCCUAGAGUCUGUUGUCCAACUCUUUAAGCACAAUUCCAGGGUAGUUUCAAGGUGCCUUGAGGGACUAUUACCACUUGCUUUUUCUUUUAUGAUUUCUAUCACUGGGAAGCAGUUAUUACAUCAUGUUUCUUAUCGUCGGUUGUGGUUGCCGUUGCACUGAUAUCAUGUCUUCACCUCCUGAAAAAUCGCUGCCUAAUCGACACCGUACACGGAGCCAGGCCAUACUUGCUUCCUCACCUUCAGAAGAGAAGAGUGGGUGCUAUUCAUGUUGGAUGGAACCGUUAUCUGGUCUCAUGCCAUUUGAAAGUGACCUUGUGUCUGGUCUGCUCCAACAGAAAGAUCAUAACUUGGUUAAUUGCUAUAUAGGUAGUCUGCACCAAGCCAAUAUCAAGACUUAAAUUCCGCUGGUGUGCUCUCUCCUACAGCAAAGAAUGAUGUGCACUAAGUAGCACUAGCACCCACGGAUGUGUAAUUUGGGAUCUACCUCGACCAAUACUUGCGAUUUGUAAACCAUACAAUAUGUUGUUCAAAUUAGAAGAUUGCGAUA